UACGGGGGGAGCAAGCGUUGUUCGGAUUUAUUGGGCGUAAAGGGCGUCGUAGGCGGUUUGUCGCGUCGGGAGUGAAAACGCCGUGCUUAACACGGCGCUUGCUUUCGAUACGGGCAGACUAGAGGUAUGGCAGGGGAGAACGGAAUUCCUGGUGUAGCGGUGAAAUGCGCAGAUAUCAGGAGGAACACCGGUGGCGAAGGCGGUUCUCUGGGCCUUACCUGACGCUGGAGGAGCGAAAGCGUGGGGAGCAAACAGG
rnacentral:rRNA from 1 species